AACGAACGCUGGCGGCAUGCCUAACACAUGCAAGUCGAACGAGACCUUCGGGUCUAGUGGCGCACGGGUGCGUAACGCGUGGGAACCUGCCCUUAGGUUCGGAAUAACUCCCCGAAAGGGGUACUAAUACCGGAUAAUGUCUUCGGACCAAAGAUUUAUCGCCUUUGGAUGGGCCCGCGUUGGAUUAGCUAGUUGGUAGGGUAAAAGCCUACCAAGGCGACGAUCCAUAGCUGGUCUGAGAGGAUGAUCAGCCACACUGGGACUGAGACACGGCCCAGACUCCUACGGGAGGCAGCAGUGGGGAAUAUUGGACAAUGGGCGAAAGCCUGAUCCAGCAAUGCCGCGUGAGUGAUGAAGGCCUUAGGGUUGUAAAGCUCUUUUACCCGGGAUGAUAAUGGCAGUACCGGGAGAAUAAGCUCCGGCUAACUCCGUG
rnacentral:rRNA from 1 species